rnacentral:rRNA from 1 species
GAUGAACGCUGGCGGCGUGCCUAAUACAUGCAAGUCGAGCGAACGGACGAGAAGCUUGCUUCUCUGAUGUUAGCGGCGGACGGGUGAGUAACACGUGGAUAACCUACCUAUAAGACUGGGAUAACUUCGGGAAACCGGAGCUAAUACCGGAUAAUAUUUUGAACCGCAUGGUUCAAAAGUGAAAGACGGUCUUGCUGUCACUUAUAGAUGGAUCCGCGCUGCAUUAGCUAGUUGGUAAGGUAACGGCUUACCAAGGCAACGAUGCAUAGCCGACCUGAGAGGGUGAUCGGCCACACUGGAACUGAGACACGGUCCAGACUCCUACGGGAGGCAGCAGUAGGGAAUCUUCCGCAAUGGGCGAAAGCCUGACGGAGCAACGCCGCGUGAGUGAUGAAGGUCUUCGGAUCGUAAAACUCUGUUAUUAGGGAAGAACAUAUGUGUAAGUAACUGUGCACAUCUUGACGGUACCUAAUCAGAAAGCCACGGCUAACUACGUGCCAGCAGCCGCGGUAAUACGUAGGUGGCAAGCGUUAUCCGGAAUUAUUGGGCGUAAAGCGCGCGUAGGCGGUUUUUUAAGUCUGAUGUGAAAGCCCACGGCUCAACCGUGGAGGGUCAUUGGAAACUGGAAAACUUGAGUGCAGAAGAGGAAAGUGGAAUUCCAUGUGUAGCGGUGAAAUGCGCAGAGAUAUGGAGGAACACCAGUGGCGAAGGCGACUUUCUGGUCUGUAACUGACGCUGAUGUGCGAAAGCGUGGGGAUCAAACAGGAUUAGAUACCCUGGUAGUCCACGCCGUAAACGAUGAGUGCUAAGUGUUAGGGGGUUUCCGCCCCUUAGUGCUGCAGCUAACGCAUUAAGCACUCCGCCUGGGGAGUACGACCGCAAGGUUGAAACUCAAAGGAAUUGACGGGGACCCGCACAAGCGGUGGAGCAUGUGGUUUAAUUCGAAGCAACGCGAAGAACCUUACCAAAUCUUGACAUCCUUUGACAACUCUAGAGAUAGAGCCUUCCCCUUCGGGGGACAAAGUGACAGGUGGUGCAUGGUUGUCGUCAGCUCGUGUCGUGAGAUGUUGGGUUAAGUCCCGCAACGAGCGCAACCCUUAAGCUUAGUUGCCAUCAUUAAGUUGGGCACUCUAAGUUGACUGCCGGUGACAAACCGGAGGAAGGUGGGGAUGACGUCAAAUCAUCAUGCCCCUUAUGAUUUGGGCUACACACGUGCUACAAUGGACAAUACAAAGGGCAGCGAAACCGCGAGGUCAAGCAAAUCCCAUAAAGUUGUUCUCAGUUCGGAUUGUAGUCUGCAACUCGACUACAUGAAGCUGGAAUCGCUAGUAAUCGUAGAUCAGCAUGCUACGGUGAAUACGUUCCCCGGUUCU